GACGAACGCUGGCGGCGUGCUUAACACAUGCAAGUCGAACGGAAAGGCCCUGCUUUUGUGGGGUGCUCGAGUGGCGAACGGGUGAGUAACACGUGAGUAACCUGCCCUUGACUUUGGGAUAACUUCAGGAAACUGGGGCUAAUACCGGAUAGGAGCUCCUGCUGCAUGGGGGGUGUUGGAAAGUUUCGGCGGUUGGGGAUGGACUAGCGGCUUAUCAGCUUGUUGGUGGGGUAGUGGCUUACCAAGGCUUUGACGGUAGCCGGCCUGAGAGGGUGACCGGCCACAUUGGGACUGAGAUACGGCCAAGACUCCUACGGGAGGGCGCAGUGAGGAAUAUUGCACAAUGGGCGGAGGCCUGAUGCAGCAACGCCGCGUGCGGGAUGACGGCAUUCGGGUUGUAAACCGCUUUCGCCUGUGACGAAGCGUGAGUGACGGUACUGGGUGAAGAAGAACCGGCUAACUACGU
rnacentral:rRNA from 1 species